GUGACGAAGCGACGCCGCGUGGGUGAGGAAGGCCCUCGGGUUGUAAAGCCCUGUCAGGAGUUAAGAAACAUAAGUGCGCUAAUAUCGCAUUUAUUUGACAAAGGCUCCAAAGGAAGCCACGGCUAACUCUGUGCCAGCAGCCGCGGUAAUACAGAGGUGACAAGCGUUGUUCGGAAUUAUUGGGCGUAAAGAGCACGUAGGUGGGUUUGUAAGUCAGAUGUGAAAGCCUUCUGUUCAACGGAAGAAUUGCAUCUGAAACUGCAAGUCUUGAGUGUAGGAGGGGAGAAUGGAACUUCUGGUGGAGCGGUGAAAUGCGUAGAUAUCAGAAGGAACGCCGGCGGCGAAAGCGAUUCUCUGGCCUAUUACUGACACUCAGUGUGCGAAAGCUAGGGGAGCAAACGGGAUUAGAUACCCCGGUAGUCCUAGCCGUAAACGAU
rnacentral:rRNA from 1 species